rnacentral:lncRNA from 1 species
UGAUUCCUUGCCCACGUAGCUGCCUCCCACAGGCUUCUCCGGGUGAUGAUGGCUAUGGGGCCCGGAGACUGCGAGGCCUAGGCCAAGGCAGAGACUGACACAGAGCUUCCCGGCCUGGAGGCUUCCAGUGCCGGUGCCCCAGGCCCUGCCCGUCAUGCCUCCCGCAGUGAGCUAUAAGACAGGCCCUUGCCUUGCCUCCAUUUCUCCCCCCACAGCAUGUUUUGUUUUGGAAAUCUCUGGAAAAAGGACCUUUGCUUGGAAUGUCCCAGCGCCCUAAGAACAGCAGCAGCACCGGAUGUAGUCUCUGCUUCCGGUUGUCAUCAGCCAAUGAGAGAAGGUUAAAGAGAACACUAGCGUUUUCCCACAGGAGAAUGCGAGUGCCCAGCAGCAAGGCAGCUGCUGUCCCCAGACCGGUUUCUGUCCAUGGGCGGCUGACACUCGCGGGGUGCUGGGCAUCCGCCUCACUGACGCCAUCUCGUGUCAUUACUGGAACACCACUGUGGGACACUACCGGCAGGGGAAAUCUGGGGCUCCCAACGGUGAAGCCCCUUCUCCCGCGUCUCUGGAGGACGUCACCACCGAAUUCAAACCCCGGUGUUUUGAGACUUAGGACGACGGCUCCGACUCCUCGCACCCCCCCCACCCCCCAACCCGGGACCUUGUGCGAGGCAGGUGCGGUGUCACUGAGCUAAAUCCCGGGCCCUGUU